GAUGAACGCUAGCGGCAGGCCUAAUACAUGCAAGCUGAACGGCAAGAUUUGUAGCAAUACGAGUCCUAGAGUAGCGUAAGGGUGCGUAACACGUAUGCAAUCUGCCCGCAACAGGAGGAUAGCUUAGCGAAAGUUGAGAUAAGACUCCAUAAGAUCACGAGAGGGCAUCUGAUUGUGAUUAAACUACGAAGGGGUUGCGGAUGAGCANGCGUCUGAUUAGUUAGUUGGCGGGGUAACG
rnacentral:rRNA from 1 species